rnacentral:rRNA from 1 species
GCAUUUCAGUUAUUGGAGGCAUUGCCUGCCCAGUGACAACUGUUUAACGGCCGCGGUAUCCUGACCGUGCAAAGGUAGCAUAAUCAUUUGUUCUCUAAAUAAGGACUUGUAUGAAUGGCCGCACGAGGGUUUUACUGUCUCUUACUUCCAAUCAGUGAAAUUGACCUUCCCGUGAAGAGGCGGGAAUGCACAAAUAAGACGAGAAGACCCUAUGGAGCUUUAACUAACCAACCCAAAGAGAAUAGAUUUAACCAUUAAGGAAUAACAACAAUCUCCAUGAGUUGGUAGUUUCGGUUGGGGUGACCUCGGAGAAUAAAAAAUCCUCCGAGCGAUUUUAAAGACUAGACCCACAAGUCAAAUCACUCUAUCGCUCAUUGAUCCAAAAACUUGAUCAACGGAACAAGUUACCCUAGGGAUAACAGCGCAAUCCUAUUCAAGAGUCCAUAUCGACAAUAGGGUUUACGACCUCGAUGUUGGAUCAGGACAUCCUGAUGGUGCAACCGCUAUCAAAGGUUCGUUUGUUCAACGAUUAAAGUCCUACGUGAUCUGAGUUCAGACCGGA